rnacentral:rRNA from 1 species
UACGUAGGGUGCGAGCGUUAAUCGGAAUUACUGGGCGUAAAGCGUGCGCAGGCGGUUUUGUAAGCCAGAUGUGAAAUCCCCGGGCUUAACCUGGGAACUGCGCUUCUAACUGGCAGGCUUGAGUGUGGCAGAGGGGGGUGGAAUUCCACGUGUAGCAGUGAAAUGCGUAGAGAUGUGGAGGAACACCGAUGGCGAAGGCAGCCCCCUGGGCUAACACUGACGCUCAUGCACGAAAGCGUGGGGAGCAAACAGG